GAAGAAGAAGAAGAAGGACAAAGACAAGGCCAAGAUGCUGGAGGCCAUGGGGACGAGCAAGAAGAACGAGGAGGAGAAGAGGCGCUGCCUGGACAAGCGCACGCCGGCGCAGGCGGCCUUCGAAAAGAUGCAGGAGAAGCGGGUGAGGCAGGGGCAGAGCAGGCCGGCCCCAACUAGUCUUCCUGUGUACUGGGAUGACAGACUGGUGUUGCCAGCUGUUAAUAUGGCCAAGUUCAUUGUAUUUCUUAAGUUACCACAAAGUCUGUUUCUAUGACAGCUCGCUUUCGUAGCUUCAAAUGUAUUCUGUUAUUUGAAGGUGGUGUGUGUGUUUUGGCUGGAACCCAGCCUCUUCUGGAACUUUCUGUGUUAAGUUUCGGUUGGCUCUGAACUCCUGCCUCAGCUUCCUAGUUCCUGGAAUGACUGGUAUGGCCCACAAGGCCAUGCUAGUUAUUUUGGGCUGUUUGUUUGUUUGUUUAGUUUGCUUUGGUUUUUCGAGGCAGGUUUCUUUGUGUAGCCUUGGUUGUCCUGGCAGGAUCUCUAGACUUGAAUUUCUGGGGUACAGUGUUAUAGUGUGAUAACCCUGUACUGAUCAAAUCCAGGCAGGCACCAUCUCCAUCUAACGACGGGCGUGCUGGCCCACAGGGUUUCUGGGAUGUGUGGUAAUCUGCAGGUUCUGAUCACCCUGCUGUCUCCCCCAGCCAAUAGUGUGUUCUGGUCUGGUCUAACCACUUCAAUGGAGUCACUUUCUUUCUUUCUUUUUUUUCUUUGAAAUUGAAUAAUGACACAGACUGGCUGGCUGGCUGGCUGGUGGCCCUCCUGGGCACCCUAAUUGACAACUCGACACAAGCUAGAAUCCUUAGGAUCUGCCACCCCUUCCUGCUGUCCUUG
rnacentral:lncRNA from 1 species